UUAAUUGGGGAUAUCUACCUGAACAAAUCUCCUUUAAGAAAUUUUAAAAUCCAUAGCCUGGAUAUGAAAACUAAAUUUAUACAAAGGGACCUUCCUAACAUCUGGAAACCAGCUGUAUUCAAACAUCGGGGCCCUGCCUUCUUCCUCGGUAUCCUGAGAAUAGGUAAUGACCCCAGAGACACCUUCAUAAAAAUGGAGGGCUGGACAAAAGGUGUAAUAUUCAUCAAUGGAAAGAAUCUGGGACGCUACUGGAAUAUAGG